rnacentral:rRNA from 1 species
CCAUACUCCUACGGGAGGCAGCAGCAGGGAAUAUUGCACAAUAGGCGAAAGCCUGAUGCAGCGACGCCGCGUGAGUGAAGAAGGCCUUCGGGUCGUAAAGCUCUUUUGUAGGGGAAGAGGAAGGACGGUACCCUAAGAAGAAGCGUCGGCUAACUACGUGCCAGCAGCCGCGGUAAGACGUAGGACGCGAGCGUUAUCCGGAAUUACUGGGCGUACAGGGCCAGCAGGCGGCUUGGUAAGUUGUGCGUGAAAGCCUCGUGCUCAACGCGAGGAAGCCGGACAAUACUGUCAAGCUAGAGGGCAUCAGAGGGGAGUGGAAUUCCCGGAGUAGCGGUAAAAUGCGCAGAUAUCGGGAGGAACACCGAUGGCGAAGGCAGCUCCCUGGGAUGCACCUGACGCUAAGAGGCGAAAGCUAGGGGAGCGAACAGGAUUAGAGACCCUGGUAGUCCUAGCUGUAAACGCUGGGUGCUAGGUGUGGGACGUAGAAGUUCCGUGCCGGAGCAAACGCGAUAAGCACCCCGCCUGGGAAUUACGGUCGCAAGGCUAAAACUCAAACGAAUUGACGGGGCCCCGCACAAGCAGCGGAGCGUGUGGUUCAAUCCGAUGCUACACGAAGAACCUUACCUGGAUUUGACAUGUACGUGGUACGAAGGCGAAAGCCUAAGGACCCUUCGGGGAGCGUACGCAGGUGCUGCAUGGCUGUCGUCAGCUCGUGCCGUGAGGUGUCGGGUUAAGUCCCGUAACGAGCGCAACCCUUGCCCUUAGUUACAAGUGUCUAAGGGGACUGCCGGCGGGAAGCCGGAGGAAGGUGGGGAUGACGUCAAGUCAGCAUGGCCCUUAUGUCCAGGGCUACGCACACGCUACAAUGGUCAGUACAAAGGGUAGCGAAGUCGCGAGGCGGAGCGAAUCUCAACAAAGCUGAUCGUAGUUCGGAUUGCAGGCUGCAACCCGCCUGCAUGAAGCUGGAGUUGCUAGUAACCGCGCGUCAGCCAUAGUGCGGUGAAUACGUACCCGGGGCUUGUACACACCGCCCGUCACGUCAUGGGAGUCGGUAACGCCUGAAGCCGGUAGUCUGGCCCGCAAGGGGGACGCUGUCGAAGGCGGGACUGGCAACUGGGACGAAGUCG